AUCUUAUGGACCCCAACAGAGAAUGGCAUCCCAGGUUGCGACACAGCUAGCAGGAGACCAAACAACAUCACAAUCUACAUACAUAAGCAAGAAAUGUGUUUUACAGCCACAUUUCAAGAAAGGAAAGUAGACAGAAAGAUUCAGUGACCUGGUUCAAGUCUUCCUAAAGAUGUGGGAUCGGUUCCCGUAGCCACAAGACCGCUUCUAUGUUUGAUUUAUCCUCUCAAGCUUAUUCCUGCUCUCCAAAAUCACACAGAAAACUGGAGGACAGCGGGCAUCUGUGUGACAAAUGGAACGCAGCUGUGUGCUUUGUCUUUUAUACAACUCCACUCAUUUUAAGCACGGUACAGACUAAGAAACUGAUGUUAAAGUGAACAGCUGUGCUGAACGUAAACCCUAACUACACAAACUCUGCCUUAGACCCUGCUGCAUGGUGACGGCUCUAGCUAUGGCAGGCGUGAAGAGGUCCCGAGUCCCACAUCUCCACCUGCACCAGGACUUGGGGCUGGCAGAGAGAAGGAGAUGAGUGAGGAUGCACACAAGGUUUACUGAAUUUUAAGAAGGAGAAGAUCCAGUCAAAGUAGCAAAUGCAGCUUUCAACAUCCUCAAAGGCAUCUAAUUGUUCAGGACAUACUGAGUAUCUGCACUUAUAGAAAUCAAGCCUCGAGUGGAACUCCCCUGAAAGCAAGGCACCGGGAAGCCAAGAUUAGUUUUCAGAAAGGCUCACCUUGACUCCAGGCUGCCUUUGUCCUUCACCCGCACUUCACAGCACUGCAAUGUCUCUUUGAACACUGAAAGUAAGUUCAGAGCUGGUGUUACAGCUCUGCUCAGCCCAAAAGGGAGCAAGAAGAAGAAAUGAGAAGCUGGUGACAAGCCUGUGGGAGAAACACACUCUGCGGGUGGGACCAGCAUCCCCAUGGAGCUGCAGUCAAGGCAGUUGUUACUUCUCUCUUGGCUGCCUUUUGUUUUCUGUCUUACAGAUUAUUUUCUUGCAUUGCUUUCUGGAUCCAGAAUGCUGUAUAUAUUACAAAAGUCAGAACUUUUUCUGGGGGAAACCAACACACACUCCGUCAAGAGGAAUGGUCUAGAUGUACAUAGAUUAGCUGAAGACCAAGCCCAAAAAUGUUUUGUGUAGAAUUCCCUUAAUUUGAUUGUAGCCCUCUUCUAGAGUCAACAGAGGGAGGAGUCAAUUCACCCCAUCAUAAAACACGGGUCUGAGGCCCUGAAAGUACCUCUCCUUCCUUUGGCACAUGACUGUUGGUGAUGAGCUGUGUGCUUCCCUUUAAAGGCUGUAGAGCUGCAUAACUAAAAACAUCCUAGAAUACUUACUCGCAGAUCCUACUCCUUGGGCCUGUUAAGUUGCUGUUAUUGAUCUUGGUCUGAGUACUGGAGAGCUCUGGGGUACAGGAGGCUCUUACAGGCUCAGGCUGCCUUACAAGAGUGGCUGGAAAGAUUAUGGGUAAUGCUGUUACAGACCUACCGCCAGUCACGCUACAUCAAUCAGCAGUUAGAUUUAUACUUACGGUGGUGAUAUAUGAUUACUAAGUAGACUUCACAAUAUUAAAAUUGGUGUUUGGGGAAAGGAGGCUGGGGUUGGUUUUUUCCCUCACCUAGUUAUUCCCUUUCUCUCUAAAUCACUCUCUUUUUUUUCUUUUUAAGUUAAGGCACUGAACUUUCAGUCUCAAAAUCAAAUCAGUCUUGUCCUUGGAAAGUUCUUUGUUAAUCCUGUUUGUAUUUUUUAAAUGCUAUGCAAACAUUUUCAUUGUGGAUUAAUGUGCUGUUUCAAAGCAGUUGAGAUUUUAAGAUUGUUGUUAAUUCAGAGAAAGAGACUUCUGUUACUACUCCAGUUCUUUUGGAAACUAAUUUAAUUCAGUGCCCUUUUUUGAGCCUUUGCAGCAGAGUGCUAAACGAAUACUAUCAAAGGCCAUAUUAAAGAGGAUUGUAUAUAGUUGACCAGGGUUCAUACCAGGGACUAGUUUCAGAUAGUGUCUUACAUUGAAAAUAUGAUUCUUCAAUUAUAGCUCCUAUUGCAAAAAUGAAAUUACCUUGAAUGCUUGCUCUAGUAGGCUUAUUUCUUAGAAUACAAUGGUAAAUGGUGAAAUUCUUCCUCACGGUAAGACAUAUCUGAUUAAAAAGUGAAAGAGAGACAGAGAGAGAAAUGUGAAGAGUAAAGUCAGUUGUAAGAGCCCUGAGAUCAGUAAAAGGACAGCUUAUACAAUGACUGCCCAUUUGAGUAGCCCAAAUAAUUCAGACCUCUCUGAAUGCUCCAUGUAGGAGCAUCUAAAGUACCUCACGUUCUGACAGCUGAUUCAGGACACGGCCAUGAGGGCUCAAAUGGCCAAAGCAAAUAUGCAGAAGCUCUUAAACACAUCCACACUAGUCACGAAUAGUAGUCAAAGUGAUUUGCAAAUACAUCUUAGCAAAACUUAACAUCUUUGAGAUCACAAUCCCAAAAAUAAUUGAUACAAUUAGGACACUGAAGCUAUGUUUGGUGUGACUGCAGCAAUUCGCAUUUAUUACAUUUCUAAGUGUUGUCUGCUUUCCUAAGUCAUAACGUACAUCUGAUUUAUUUAGAGAAUAAUAGUGAUUUGCAGCUCUUCCCUGUUUUUUUUUAAUCUUACGAUCUAUGCAGAUGUUUCAGGUGUGACUUCACUGUGCAGAGUAUCUCGUGACUUCUCCGAGGACACAGCGGGCCUUGGACAGCGAGCUCUGCCUGGCUUGGGCCGGCGUUCUUUGAAUUGAGUGCCUACUGCUACUGAACAUGCACACAACCUUAAGGCUACCUGCUGUGGUGUUUCUAAACAGUCUGCUUUUCUAAUUCUGGGAUUACAGUGCUUAAAGGCACAUAAGGAUGAUGAACAAGUAGAAAGGAUCUUAUGUCCUUACAUCCACAGGGAGUUUUUUGUCCCUGUCCUGUUGGCAUUAGUCGUGUAAGCCUCUCAUUCAUCUGCCUUGGGAAGACUGAUCUGCUCAGCCUUUGGUGUUUUCAUCUGUUUUUGAUGUGCUGGCUGAACUAACUCAAUGAUUGCUUAUGUGUACGAGAAUUAAUUAUAAAUGUUGAAUAUAUAAAGCAAUCUUGUGGACUCAUGCUUCAUUAGCAGUCUGAUCAGUUAGCCACUGCAAUGCUGACUUAAUUUGCACUGCAGAUGCUAUAGCUAGAAGGCAGUGGACAUUUGUGAGGAAGACAGGAUGCAGUUUCGCCAACUCCUUGCAUUAAAUUCAUAGCAUUCUCCGCUUACCUGGGUAGCAUAUGAUGAGAGAAGAGAGCACAAGACUAGGCAUUGUGUUGCCCGAUGAAAACUUGUCUUCUGACAAAGAAUCUGUUAGUUUACUUUGCUGGAGAAAGCAAACUAUUCAGGCUGCAGUGGUCCAGCUUGCUGGGCAUGGACAUGCACCUUGAGACUCUCAUUGUCGCGUUUCUUCAGAGCCAUAGUAGUAUGUUCCAAGAGCCAUUGAUGAAAAGCAUAACACAUGAGGGAAGUGGUUAUUUUCUUCUUUUAACCACUGUCUUCCUUACCUUACCUGUAAAAUAAUUAAAAUUAUUCUUGGGAAUAUACCAAGCAUUUUGAGACCCUGAGCCACCACCUGCAGAAAUCGUACUGUUUGCUAGAAAGGAGUAAUUUUUGUUUUCAAAAAGAGUUCUGAAGAAGAUAAAGAAACAUUUCUGUAUCUUUUGCAUCAGUAAAAAGGAUUAGACAGGCUGUAAUCUUGGUCAAUCUGACUUCUACAAUUAUGGAAAAUUACAAAGAUUGAUGUUAGUUGCAAUUUAUAUUAUUGCAUAAACUUGUACAGGAUGAAUCUUCUCUUUUGAAAUACAUAUUUCACUAAAGCUAGAAUAUAUAUGAAGUUAUUUCUUUUUCUUUCUUUUCCCCAUCAGAUUGAUAAUAGACCAUGUAGGAAACUGCUGAAAAACACAAAAAGAAAAAGUUGGAGCAAUUCAAAUUGUCAUGGCAAUAUCCUAGAUUUUUGAAGAAGUUCAGUUCUGUUUAGCUAGUCACUUUAAUUUUCCUUAGUAACUUGUCUCCAUUCUCUACCAUAAUGAUAAUUCUUUAUAUGACUGUCAGCCCUUCGCAUUGUGACAGCUUAAAUUAAUGUUUUGAUAUUUCUCUCUUUGUAAGAAUACAACAAAGAAGACAACUGCCAAGGAUAGGACAGAAACUGUAUGAAUGUUAAACAGACAUUGUGCACCAAUAAAACCAGAAGGAAUUAUUUUCACUUUA